UACGGAGGGAGCUAGCGUUGUUCGGAAUUACUGGGCGUAAAGCGCACGUAGGCGGCUUUGUAAGUUAGAGGUGAAAGCCCGGGGCUCAACCCCGGAAUUGCCUUUAAGACUGCAUCGCUUGAAUCCGGGAGAGGUGAGUGGAAUUCCGAGUGUAGAGGUGAAAUUCGUAGAUAUUCGGAAGAACACCAGUGGCGAAGGCGGCUCACUGGACCGGUAUUGACGCUGAGGUGCGAAAGCGUGGGGAGCGAACCGG
rnacentral:rRNA from 1 species